UGGAAGUAUUACGUGUUUUGGGCGCUAAAAUAAGGUCACUUGUACGUUACAGCGCGAUGUACAAAAGUGCGUUAGCUAACAAGAAGUUGCUUAAUCUUCACUGGUUGCUAUAUAUUUGAUCCUUAUGUCGUACUGCUACGAAUAGCUUUUGUCCCCAUAUGUAUGCUUUGUUUCCAUGUCUUGAAUGUCCCUUUCCUUUUAUUGGGUCUUUUCUGUGCCAGUCGCAGGAAGUGGACCACUAUGAGAACCCAAGAAAUGUGGGUUCCUUAGACAAGAACGCCAAGAACGUGGGGACUGGCUUGGUGGGUGAGCCUGCAUGUGGGGACGUUAUGAAACUCCAGGAGGCCUUUUGGUAGGCCCUCGUUAUCCAAGUGGACAUAAAGGGGAAGAUGGUGGAUGCUAGAUUCAAGACUUUUGUCUGUGGCUCAGCCAUUGCUUCCAGUUCUCUAGUAACAGAGUGGGCAAAGGGCAAAUCCUGCUUGCAGAGGAUGCUAUAAAGGCAGCCGUGGCAGACUACAGGGUCAAACAGAAGGAAAACGAGGCGGCAGAAAAAAACUCAUCAAUUAGUCCCUGUUCUUCCCAAUUGCCUUGCUCUGACAUCCUGUGUGGUGCAAGCCUUAAAUGUGAACAUGAUACAGGUCAACAGUCAUGGCCAAGUUCUCCAAUGUAAUUGAUGCUUUCAGUUAAAACCGUAUCAGAACUGCUUACUGUUAAGUUAUGGCAGAUGUUUGUUUGCCGUUAUGUAUGGCAAUUCUCAAAUGAUAAUCCUAAAUGUUGAAAUGGAAUAAAACAAUCCUAUUUUGUAUUUACAACUCCCAAGAAAGGCAUUUUAAACUUAAUUAAAGGACUACAUUUUUGAUAUA